AGUGAACGCUGGCGGUAGGCCUAACACAUGCAAGUCGAACGGCAGCACAGUAAGAGCUUGCUCUUACGGGUGGCGAGUGGCGGACGGGUGAGGAAUACAUCGGAAUCUACUUUUUCGUGGGGGAUAACGUAGGGAAACUUACGCUAAUACCGCAUACGACCUACGGGUGAAAGCAGGGGAUCUUCGGACCUUGCGCGAUUGAAUGAGCCGAUGUCGGAUUAGCUAGUUGGCGGGGUAAAGGCCCACCAAGGCGACGAUCCGUAGCUGGUCUGAGAGGAUGAUCAGCCACACUGGAACUGAGACACGGUCCAGACUCCUGCGGGAGGCAGCAGUGGGGAAUAUUGGACAAUGGGCGCAAGCCUGACACAGCCAUACGGCGUGGGUGAAGAAGGCCUUCGGUUUGUAAAGCCCUUUUGUUGGGAAAGAACAGCAGCGGGUUGAGACACCGCGGUCCUGACGGUACCCAAGGAAGAAGCACCGGCUAACUACGUG
rnacentral:rRNA from 1 species